GACGAACGCUGGCGGCGUGCUUAACACAUGCAAGUCGAACGGAAAGGCCCUGCUUUUGUGGGGUGCUCGAGUGGCGAACGGGUGAGUAACACGUGAGUAACCUGCCCUUGACUUUGGGAUAACUUCAGGAAACUGGGGCUAAUACCGGAUAGGAUCUCCUGCUGCAUGGUGGGGGUUGGAAAGUUUCGGCGGUUGGGGAUGGACUCGCGGCUUAUCAGCUUGUUGGUGGGGUAGUGGCUUACCAAGGCUUUGACGGGUAGCCGGCCUGAGAGGGUGACCGGGCACCUUAGGACUGAGAUACGGACCAGACUCGUACGGGAGGCAACGGUGGGAAAUAUUGCACAGUGAGCGGGAGCCUGAUGCAGCAGCGCCGCGUGCGGGAUGACGGCCUUCGGGUUAUAAACCGCUUUCGCCUGUGACGAAGCGUGAGUGACGGUAAUGAGUAAAGAAGCACCGGCUAACUACGUG
rnacentral:rRNA from 1 species